rnacentral:rRNA from 1 species
AUUGAACGCUGGCGGCAGGCCUAACACAUGCAAGUCGAGCGGCAGCGGGACCUUCGGGUUGCCGGCGAGCGGCGGACGGGUGAGUAAUGCCUAGGAAUCUGCCUGUUAGUGGGGGAUAACGCGGGGAAACUCGCGCUAAUACCGCAUACGUCCUAUGGGAGAAAGUGGGGGACCUUCGGGCCUCACGCUAACAGAUGAGCCUAGGUCGGAUUAGCUAGUUGGUGGGGUAAAGGCCCACCAAGGAGACGAUCCGUAACUGGUCUGAGAGGAUGAUCAGUCACACUGGAACUGAGACACGGUACAGACUCCUACGGGAGGCAGCAGUGGGGAAUAUUGGACAAUGGGCGAAAGCCUGAUCCAGCCAUGCCGCGUGUGUGAAGAAGGUCUUCGGAUUGUAAAGCACUUUAAGUUGGGAGGAAGGGCGCUCGGUGAAUACCCAGGCGUCUUGACGUUACCGACAGAAUAAGCACCGGCUAACUUCGUGCCAGCCGCCGCGGUAACAC